rnacentral:lncRNA from 1 species
GCCUCAGAACAAUUCAUCGUCCUCUUCAUGAUAAGGAGAUCAGACAAUGUAGGCAAAUUCUUUUAAUCAUCACAGGCCCACUCAACAGAAAGAUUCGGUCAUACAAAGUGGUUCUCCUAAGAAAAAAAGCCUCCCAUAAUUCAAUACUAUAGAUUCUUCUAGGAUUCUUUCUUUCGUGAGUAAUGCAAAUGCAGACUAGGCAAAACAUGGCCACAGCAAAGAAUCAUCUUUUAUGAGCCACAUGAUGAGUUGCCAUAGGUGAAAACUCAGAAAAGAUGAAUAAAAAAACAUCAACGCUAGAGAAUAUUUGCAUUCACUAACCAACAUAAGGAGUAUUUUCAACAAGGCCUCAGGACAAUUCAUCGUUCCAUCGUUCCUCUUCAUGAUAAGAAGGAUCAGACGAUGUAGGCAAAUUCUUUUAGUCAUCACAGGCCGACCCAACAAAAUAUUUGAUCAUACAAAGCAGUUCUAAUAAAAAAAGCCAACCAUAAUUCAAUACUAGCUUCUUCUAGGAAGCUUUCUUUCAUGGGUAAUGCAAAUGCAGACUAGGCAAAACAUGGGCACGGUAAAGAAUCAUCUUUUAUGAGCCACAUGAUGAGUUGCCAUAGGUGAAAACCCAGGAAAGAUGAAUAAAUUUUAAAAUGUUUAGAACUAAACCCAACCAACAGAAGAGUGUUCCCUUGAUUAGAAAGCCAACAAGUUCUUGAAAGAAACUUCACUUCAUUGUAACCAAUCCAAGAGAAAUUUAACAUCACAGAACCAUCCAAGAUUCCAGUGGAUGGUUAGAAAUUGAAUCCAUUCUAUAAUUCAGAACCACCCUUAGAUAAUUGAAUAUUGUUGUCUUUGAAGACCAUUCAUUUAAUAUUACUAAGAAUAAAGCAAAUACCAGUACAGAAAGAAAUUCCUUAAUAUAAA